AGCUGACCACCCAGACACACUGUGAAGAGGGAGAUGUCAAAGGCAGUCUGAGGAGAAAAACUGCCCCUUUCAGGAAGUCUUCUGGGAUUAACCACGGCCCUAGUCGGCCCGUCCAACUCAGAUUGCUCCUUCCCUUCUUGAUCAUAUUUGGCGAUGAGUAACACUCUGAUACUUUGGUUGGCUUGCCUGUUUCUCUUACACUGAGUGCAGCUCUUGAUUUUUCUUGGUCAAGCACCGGGGGUUGAGUGCAGGGCCUCAAUACUAGUCAAGUGCUCUACCAUUGAGUGCCAACCCACACAGUCCUCGGCCCAGUUUUAAAAAUAGGAUUCUAGCCUUCUGUUUUAAUAGAUGAUAGAAGUUGCACCGAGAGACGGCCUGAGUGAGGAAGAAGAGCGUGCCCUUGGGUCAGAUGCACCCAGGUGCAAAGCUGGGUUCUGGAUUGUGCAGCUGUGUGAGCCAGUUUCCUAGUUCACAGAAGGGAAAAUGAGCUCCACUCUGCAAGAAGACUAAAGUCAGAGAGUCAUCGGUCCUAGCCUUGCAGUGUGCUCCCAAGUCGUCUGAGACAAGGCUCACCUGGGACUUUCCUCCAGCCCCAUCCACAGCCAAUGUGACAGAGAGAGCACAGCAAAUGACGUGGAUCUUAAAAAAGGAGCCGAAGAAGUUGCUACAGCCCAGGGCGAUCAUCUCCUGUGGAGAGAGGGCAGGGUUGGUGGGAAGUAGGGGUCAGAUGUGGGCAGCCAUCUGUGUGUGUGUAGGGGGUCUGAGGCCUAGUUUGGAAGUGAUUGUGAUGCUGUGACCACACACUAGCACCCAAAGGUUAGCCGCAGGCUGGGGAGGUGGUUCAGCAGGUAAACACUUGCAGCAUGGGCAUGAGAACCUGGGUUCAGAUCUCCAGUACCCAUGUAAAAAAAAAAAAAAAAAAAAGAACACAGAUCACAGUGCUGAGGAGGUAGAGGCAGGAGGAUUCCCAGAGCUUACUGUCUUGGCAAUGUAGUCAGUCAGUGAGCACUCAGAAAAAAAAAAGUUUGAGAAGUGAUGGAUGAAUACAUCAGAUGUUAGCCUCUGGCCUCCAUAUGUAGCACACAUACACAUGUAUAUGAACUUGCAUAUACAUGUACACACAGGAACAUGUAAACUAUCCUCUAAGACUCCCCACAGAAAAAAAAAAAGAAAAGAAAAAGAAAGUUAAACCCAGAGUUCAGUCUCUUCGGUCUAGUUCCCCAACCCUCACCGUCUCUCCUUAACACAGUUCCAAGGUGUCUUUCUCUCCCCCUUUUUGAGGUGCUGGGGCAUAACCCAGAGACUCUUGUAUGCCAGGCAUACAAGAUGUGACUCUACCAUGGAGUCACAUCGCCAACCCCCAAAGCUGUCAUUGGUAGGCUUCUGCCGGCCCAUACCCCCGAACCCUGCCUGCCAGGGGCAGCUGGAGAUACCUGGUUCGAAUCCACGUCAUAGCCAUGCUUGUUGGCAAGGGUCCGGCCCAUGGCCAGAUUGAUGACAUAGCCCACAAUUGCCAGGGAGAAGGCUGUGCCCACCAUGUCCUUCCACUGGGAAACCACCGGCACCACUGGAGUGGGAAACCUGCCGAGUGUCCAAAAAGAGGUGGGGCUGGGGGUGUGAGAAGGAGGGGAGCUGAGCCCCACCAUGUGCUAGCAUCUUAUUUGCAAGGCUUGUCCCACGCGGCCUCACACAGUACACUCAGAAAGCAGGUCCCGCCACUCUUGGUUUUGAAGGAGAGAGCCAGGGCUUAAGAGAAUUAACUUGUCCAGGCCAACAAGCCAGUAAGCAGGAGGGCUUCAUUUGUUUAUGCCCAGACUCUGAUUCUUUGUACACUAGUUUCCAGAACCCACAGACCUCCAGUGCUAUGAGGCCUUGUCUCCUCCUCCCCUGUUGGGGCAAGCCUUGCCCAAGUUGUCCUGAAUCUAGCAUGGUACCUGACAUAGAAUAGAUGCUUAAAGAAUUUGGUUGACCUUAGUGGCUCCCUUUCUGCACGGGUUAAAAAAAAACAAAAACGAGUAUGUACUAGAACAAAGCUGAAAGCCAGGGAUGGGGGGAUCUGUGAGUGGUUUGACUGUAUUCAGUACAUGAGACUCAUGGGGGCUGGGAGGGUAGCAUUUGAGACUCACUUUCUAUGAAGAGGCCAGCAUGGGCUGGUUAUGUGACUUUUCUGAGUCAGUUUUCAAUUCAUUUCAGCUAGAGCCUCUCAACUCCACCAGGGCCCCGGCUCUGGGGCGGGAAUGGGCUGGGUUUGGCCUCUGAGUGAUCUGGACUCACCCAUGUUGAAUCUCUCCGACGAUCUGCAUGUGAUAUUUUUUUGGCAUCUUGUAGCUCCCAGAGAUAGCUGUUGCCACUACCACCUGCAAACCCCAAAGUGGAGAAUGGAUAUUGACUCUUAGCUGGGACUAGGUCAGGGGUCUUUCCUAAAUCCUUUCUCUGGGAUUCCCAGAUCCCACUGUCUUGCCUCCUUAGGUCCGUGGGGCAGUGUGUGUAUGAGGCAGCCUGAGGAGUCACAUGGUGGGCCGCACGACAUACUCACCUGUGACUUCCUCUGCCUUCGGCUGCCAGUGGAGUGGGUAGAGGGGUGGACAGAGGCUCCCCUGCUCACAGCCGCCCUAUCCUGACCCUCAGAACCCUGUCUCCAGGUAGGCAGGAUGCUCACCACGAUCAUCUCCGUAGGGAUGGGGAAGUGGAUCUUGUGCAUGUACCGGGCGUUGAGUUCCUUCACCAGCACCAGGAAGACAGCGCUGACCAGGGCGAAGACGAGCGAGGCGAUGUUGGUGUGGGGGAGGUUUUUGCAAAUGUCAAUGAAGGUCUAAGGGAGAGAGCAUCAUAGGCUCCCAUCCUUUCCUCCCAUACUGCCCUGCCCUCGGGUGCCUGGCCCAGGGGAGACAUACGAGGGCAGAACACAGCCCUGGUUGCGAAUACCAUCCCACCUGCAACUACCCUCUCCCAGAGGGUGUGUCAGGAGUGAGUGCCAAGGAGUCGUACUUUCUCAUGAUAUUCAUGUGUGUAUGUCUAAGUGAGUGUAUGUCACAUGUGUGCAGGCAAGAUAGAGUGUCAUCCACUAGAGCUAGAGUUACAGGGGCUUGUGAUCCACCUGAUGUGGGGCUGGGGGCUUUAAGAUGACAUAAUUCCUUUCUCUUGUCAAGAGCCUUCACUAAAAAAGGAAGGGCUUCCCAGGUAAAGGAGCUGAGGCGCUGGAAUGGGGUCUCGUGUUCUGCAGGGAUUGACCAGAGAGCCCAGCGAGCACAUGAGGAUCUGUUAGACCCCUUUCUCACCAGGAGGACCCGAUGGGAGCCUCUCUACCCAUUGGCCCAGCCAGCUAUCAGAAUGAACAGUUCAUUCUGCUCCCAUCCCGCCCCUCCCCAAAGGGGCGUUUCCGGACUCACAAAAACGAUGGAGCCUGGGCCUGUGUAGGAGGGGAUGGUCAGACCAAAGAUGUACUUGAGCACAGAGAUCAGGAUCUGCAGGCCAGCGGCUGUCAUGAAGCCCCGGAUGAAGGAUUCAGAGAGGUAAAUGGCGACAAAGCCAAACUGCACGAAACCCAAGCCCAUCUGGAAGGAAGGAAGCCGAGAGUCCGCAGUGGGUCGUCUGCUCCAACUGCCUCACACAGCUCAGGAACAGCAGGCAAGGACUCAGGGAAAUGAGUCCUCUGCAAACUUUCCCUGCCAUUCUCUGGGACCUGGGUGCCUGCCACCAAGCCUUAGUUCCCUCGGCAGCACACAGCCUCUCUGUCACUUCACUCUGCUGGCUUCAGCUCCUUUAUCUUAAAAUAAACGUGGUCCUCCCCCGGUGCCACCUGUUGCCCAACUGAAAA